AGUCCAGAGGUGUUUCACGUCGAAAUGCAAAUUCGAAGAAGAGCCCUAAAAGGCUCCGGGGCUU
rnacentral:tRNA from 1 species